rnacentral:rRNA from 1 species
AGCGAACGCUGGCGGCAGGCCUAACACAUGCAAGUCGAACGAAGUCUUCGGACUUAGUGGCGGACGGGUGAGUAACACGUGGGAACGUGCCUUUAGGUUCGGAAUAACUCAGGGAAACUUGUGCUAAUACCGAAUGUGCCCUUCGGGGGAAAGAUUUAUCGCCUUUAGAGCGGCCCGCGUCUGAUUAGCUAGUUGGUGAGGUAAAGGCUCACCAAGGCGACGAUCAGUAGCUGGUCUGAGAGGAUGAUCAGCCACAUUGGGACUGAGACACGGCCCAAACUCCUACGGGAGGCAGCAGUGGGGAAUCUUGCGCAAUGGGCGAAAGCCUGACGCAGCCAUGCCGCGUGGAUGAUGAAGGUCUUAGGAUUGUAAAAUCCUUUCACCGGUGAAGAUAAUGACUGUAGCCGGAGAAGAAGCCCCGGCUAACUUCGUGCCAGCAGCCGCCGCAGUAA